rnacentral:rRNA from 1 species
UGAUAGUACCAGAAGAGGAAGAGACGGCUAACUCUGUGCCAGCAGCCGCGGUAAUACAGAGGUCUCAAGCGUUGUUCGGAUUCAUUGGGCGUAAAGGGUGCGUAGGCGGCGCGGUAAGUCGGGUGUGAAAUCUCGGGGCUCAACUCCGAAACUGCAUUCGAUACUACCGUGCUUGAGGACUGGAGAGGAGACUGGAAUUUACGGUGUAGCGGUGAAAUGCGUAGAUAUCGUAAGGAAGACCAGUGGCGAAGGCGGGUCUCUGGACAGUUCCUGACGCUGAGGCACGAAGGCCAGGGGAGCAAACGGGAUUAGAUACCCCGGUAGUCCUGGCAGUAAACGGUGCACGUUUGGUGUGGGAGGAUUCGACCCCUUCUGCGCCGGAGCUAGCGCGUUAAACGUGCCGCCUGGGGAGUACGGUCGCAUGAUUAAAACUCAAAGAAAUUGACGGGGGCCCGCGCAAGCGGUGGAGUAUGUGGCUCAAUUCGAUGCAACGCGAAGAACCUUACCUGGCCUUGACAUGCAUCUCUAAGUUGGUGAAAGCCAGCGAGUCCCGAAAGGGACAAUU